CUUCAUUUCUUUCUUCUCUUCUUUCUUCUUCUCGUCUCUUCUUCUUCCCUUCUUCUGUUGCCGACGAUUGUGAGUGAGAUUUAAGAAUUCUGUUGAGAGAAUCAAUCGACGAGGAAGAACUGAUGCAGUAGAAGUUGUUGCUGGUGUUGAUAAGAUUGAGAGUGGUACAGAUGUUUAAGGAAGCAGAAUUAGGGUUUUGAGAUGAAUUUUGGAGCCGUAUGAAAUUGAUAGGCUAAAUCGAAGUAUAAAUGGAUGUAGAAUGAAGGGUUAUUGCUGAAUUAAAGUUUAAAGUUGAUGAAUAAUUUGGGAAUCGAUAGUUAGAGUUUUGAAUUGGAAACCGAGGUUGAUGAAUUGAAGCUGAUAAUGAAGAAAAGGCAAGGAAGAUGAAAUUGAUGGAGUUUGAUUCUGAUAUGGUUUUUCCUGAAUUUGGGUUAGUGACGAAUUGAUGAGAUGAAUAUGUUUCGGAGAAGAAUCAAAGACAAGGUAAUUUACGGUUUCAUAAUUGAGUUUUUUGUUUGGUGUGAAUUAAUCUAAAUCGAUGAUUCGGUGGUGGGUUUAUUUCUGAUUUGAGUAGAAAUGGUUGCAUGAAGUUCAAUUCUGAUUCAAGGGGAAUUAAGGCCUAUUAUUUCUUAAUUAGGUUACGACAUCCUAGUGUUUGAAUAUUUUUCAUGAGAUAGAAGAAAAUUUAGAUAUCAUUGGUGGUGUUGUGUGAAGUUUAUGUAAAUGUGGUUGUAGCCCGGAUUUGGUUGAAUUACAGGGGAGAUGACUAACAGAGGAGGCCUGAUGUGUACUAGAAUGGGUGAAUUGAUAACUGGUGAUGUUUGGUGUUGAUGUGGGUUAUUGAGUUGGGGUUUAAAUGAAAGAAUGAUAUUAUGUUUGGGUCUCUUAAUGAAAUUGUUGAGAAUGGUGUGUACAGAUUAGGCUUGUGUUGUGAAAUUGAGUAAGAGAAUGGUUUUGUUGUGUUGUGUUUGUGUUGAACUGAGGUGCAGAGUUAUUGGGCAAUGAUGGUGUUUUGUCUAUGGGUAUUGGUACCGUUGUGGAUUUCAGGAAAGAGGAAUGAUAAGUUAAUGUGAAGUUUAGAGUGAGAUUUGAACUGUUGUUACAAAUGAAGUUUGGAUCAAGAACUAUAUAUGAAGUUGGAGUUAGAGUCAGUGGUAGUGUUAUUGGUGUUUGGUAUGGUGUCGAGAAUUGGCUGAAGUGACAAUGAUGUUGCUGCUGGAAUUCGAGUUGAGUGUGCAGAUUUUCUUGUGUGGGUAGUAUUGUUGUUGUAUGAGUUGUGUGGUUUUGGAUGAAACUGAGUUUGUUUUCUUUAAAAUUCCAAUGGGGUAGAACUUUAAUUCGAUGGUCGUAAACUCAUCAUGUGUUUGUUUGUUGAACUUCUUUUGUAUCUGACAUGCUAGUUGGUUUGAAAACUUCAUCUCUCAAUUCACAGGGAAAUUCCCUACUAUUGAUUCUGUAGGAGUUGAGAAAAUUCUGUGUCAUAGCUUUAAACUAUCCAGAACUGAGAAAAAAAUUCUUUAUUGGUUCUUAAUCAUUCCGUGUCAUAAAUUUAAGCUUUCCAGAUUUUAGAAGAAAAUUCUCUAUUGGUUUUUAAUUAUAGUUGAAGCCUUUAUCGUUUAAACUUCAUGGCAGCUGAGCCAAGGGUAGUAAGUACCAAAAUGAUAUAUACAGAACCUGUAAUGCUCCCACAACUUUCCACCAACGUAUUUUUCUUAUGUUUAGCAUCAUAUAUCUGAAUAUUGUAUGUAUGCUUUAGAAACGAUCUAAUUUGAUUUUCUAUUUUGCACAUUCUUAUAAUUUAAAUGCUUAACAUUAUUAAUCUAAUCAUAUCCCUCAACUCUCGCUUUUCCGGGGGCGUUGAUGCUGUUUUUGAUGCCACAGAUUGGAACCGGAAAAUUAGUGUGCUUGUAACGGCAAUAAGGCAGAUACUCAUACAACGAUAUUUCUUACAGACUUCUUUCAUGAAGGUUUUUUCUACAGCUCAGUUACUGCAUUCAGGAUGGAAAAUAGUUAUGGAGCAUUGAGGGAUGCUUUGAUUUCUUUCUCAAAGGUCUUGUGCUUGGAGAAGGAAGAAAGUGAAGUGUGUGUUCGAGUUAUUUGUGCGUGGGUAUAUUGUUUCUAAAUUGUAUAACUCUUCAAUAACAUGGAUUCUAUUCUAAGUUCAUUUGAUUGUGUAAAUUUUUAAACUUGUAAUGGAUUCUCAGUUUGUAUGAUUGCAAAAGUGGUUUAUAUGUCAUGUCUGAUAGUUUCUCA